UGGGGAAUUUUGGACAAUGGGGGAAACCCUGAUCCAGCCAUCCCGCGUGUGCGAUGAAGGCCUUCGGGUUGUAAAGCACUUUUGGCAGGAAAGAAACGUCAUGGGUUAAUACCCCGUGAAACUGACGGUACCUGCAGAAUAAGCACCGGCUAACUACGUGCCAGCAGCCGCGGUAAUACGUAGGGUGCAAGCGUUAAUCGGAAUUACUGGGCGUAAAGCGUGCGCAGACGGUUAGGAAAGAAAGAUGUGAAAUCCCAGAGCUCAACUUUGGAACUGCAUUCUUAACUACCGGGCUAGAGAGUGUCAGAGGGAGGUGGAAUUCCGCGUGUAGCAGUGAAAUGCGUAGAUAUGCGGAGGAACACCGGUGGCGAAGGCAGCCUCCUGGGAUAACACUGACGCUCAUGCACGAGAGCGUGGGGAGCAAACAAG
rnacentral:rRNA from 1 species